rnacentral:rRNA from 1 species
UACGGAGGGAGCUAGCGUUGUUCGGAAUUACUGGGCGUAAAGCGCACGUAGGCGGCUUUGUAAGUUAGGGGGUGAAAGCCUGGAGCUCAACUUCAGAAUUGCCCUUAAGACUGCAUCGCUUGAAUCCAGGAGAGGUGAGUGGAAUUCCGAGUGUAGAGGUGAAAUUCGUAGAUAUUCGGAAGAACACCAGUGGCGAAGGCGACUCACUGGACAUGUAUUGACGCUGAGGUGCGAAAGCGUGGGGAGCAAACAGG